rnacentral:rRNA from 1 species
UGGGGAAUUUUGGACAAUGGGCGAAAGCCUGAUCCAGCAAUGCCGCGUGUGUGAAGAAGGCCUUCGGGUUGUAAAGCACUUUUGUCCGGAAAGAAAUCCUCUGGGUUAAUACCUCGGGGGGAUGACGGUACCGGAAGAAUAAGCACCGGCUAACUACGUGCCAGCAGCCGCGGUAAUACGUAGGGUGCAAGCGUUAAUCGGAAUUACUGGGCGUAAAGCGUGCGCAGGCGGUUUUGUAAGACGGAUGUGAAAUCCCCGGGCUUAACCUGGGAACUGCAUUCGUGACUGCAAGGCUAGAGUAUGGCAGAGGGGGGUAGAAUUCCACGUGUAGCAGUGAAAUGCGUAGAGAUGUGGAGGAAUACCGAUGGCGAAGGCAGCCCCCUGGGCCAAUACUGACGCUCAUGCACGAAAGCGUGGGGAGCAAACAGGAUUAGAUACCUUGGUAGUCCACGCCCUAAACGAUGUCAACUAGUUGUUGGGGAUUCAUUUCCUUAGUAACGUAGCUAACGCGUGAAGUUGACCGCCUGGGGGAGUACGGUCGCAAGAUUAAAACUUAAAUGAAUUGACGGGGUCAUAGCUGUUUCC